rnacentral:rRNA from 1 species
GACGGAAGGUGCAAGCGUUGCUCGGAAUUACUGGGCGUAAAGGGCUCGUAGGUGGCCAACUAAGUCAGACGUGAAAUCCCUCGGCUUAACCGGGGAACUGCGUCUGAUACUGGAUGGCUUGAGUUUGGGAGAGGGAUGCGGAAUUCCAGGUGUAGCGGUGAAAUGCGUAGAUAUCUGGAGGAACACCGGUGGCGAAGGCGGCAUCCUGGACCAACACUGACACUGAGGAGCGAAAGCCAGGGGAGCAAACGGG